AGGCCAGGUCAAAAUAGUCGAUCACAGAAAAUAUUUACGUGCAGUGUCUCGUAGGAUAUCUCAGGUACAGUAGAUUAUUUAUUAGAGCUCCCAUUUGGAUAAGACAAAAUCAGCUAUGUUACUAUGACUGAUUAUGAGAGGGUUUUCUUACCUGGCUGAGAGGUUGGCUUCAUGUCUUACAUCCUCAAAAAGAGCCACAAACACUGGGUGACAUGCUAUCAGACACCAAGUUUGGUCAGUCUCAAGGGCACCUCUACCAAGUCACCCUUCCUCGUUCAGUGUGGCUCCUAUAUAAUCAGCACUUUUUGAAACUGUUGGGAAUUAAAACUUAUUUCCAAUAUUUUUCAUAUACUGACAGCAAUGAUGAAUUGCCUGUAAACUCUAUGAAGGGGAUGGGCAUUUCUGAUAACCUGUUAUCAGCAUAAUAAAAAACUGAGUGGUCAAUAAGAGAUAUGGAAACAAUGUUUAUUAAACUAU